rnacentral:misc_RNA from 1 species
GAUGAAGAACGUAGCGAAAUGCGAUAAGUAGUGUGAAUUGCAGAAUUCAGUGAAUCAUCGAAUCUUUGAACGCACAUUGCGCCCCUUGGUAUUCCAUGGGGCAUGCCUGUUCGAGCGACAUUUGUACCUUCAAGCUCUGCUUGGUGUUGGGUGUUUGUCUCGCCUCUGCGUGUAGACUCGCCUUAAAACAAUUGGCAGCCGGCGUAUUGAUUUCGGAGCGCAGUACAUCUCGCGCUUUGCACUCAUAACGACGACGUCCAAAAGUACAUUUUUACACUCUUGACCUCGGAUCAGGUAGGGAUACCCGCUGAACUUAAGCAUAUCAAUAAGCGGAGGA